AGUGAACGCUGGCGGUAGGCCUAACACAUGCAAGUCGAACGGCAGCACAGUAAGAGCUUGCUCUUACGGGUGGCGAGUGGCGGACGGGUGAGGAAUACAUCGGAAUCUACUUUUUCGUGGGGGAUAACGUAGGGAAACUUACGCUAAUACCGCAUACGACCUACGGGUGAAAGCAGGGGAUCUUCGGACCUUGCGCGAUUGAAUGAGCCGAUGUCGGAUUAGCUAGUUGGCGGGGUAAAGGCCCACCAAGGCGACGAUCCGUAGCCGGUCUGAGAGGAUGGUGAGCGACACUGGAACUGAGACACGGUCCAGACUCCUACGGGAGGCAGCAGUGGGGAAUAUUGGGCAAUGGGCGCAAGCCUGAUCCAGCCAUACCGCGUGGGUGAAGAAGGCCUUCGGGUUGUAAAGCCCUUUUGUUGGGAAAGAAAAGCAGCAGGUUAAUACCCCGCUGUUCUGACGGUACCCAAAGAAUAAGCACCGGCUAACUUCGUG
rnacentral:rRNA from 1 species